GAGAGUGUAGCUCAAUGGGAGAGCAUCUACCUAUCAUGUGCAAAGCCCUGGGUUUCAUCCUCAGCACUUCCA
rnacentral:tRNA from 1 species